CCGUGCUAGGCGGGGAGUUAGCGGUGCCCUGUAACCCGCAAUCCGCUAUAGCGGGGCUUAAUUCCCAGCCCGAGGCUUUCUUUUUCGGAGAGCUCGAGCGGGCAAGUGGUGUUGAUCGUCAGGACCUGCGCAAUCAGGGCUCAUGAAUCCCGUCAGGACCGGGAGGUAGCAGCGGUAAGUGAUAACCCUGGUGUGCCGUAGGCCUCCCUGGCCGGAGCCAACUACUCGUGAGACUCCCGGGAAAUGGGCCGAGGACGGGUGCACGG
rnacentral:SRP_RNA from 1 species